CAGCUUCCAGCCCAGUCGGUCCGGCCCGGGGGCCAUGGAGCUCCGAGCGGCGGAUCGCGAGCCUCCUGCGAACCCCAGCCUGCACGCCCGGUUAGCAUUCGGCCGGGAGAUGCGGCAGUGGAAUCUGGAAGGGCGGUGAAAAACCCACGUCCUGCCCUCCCCCGGCCUCUCCAUUCGUCCCCCGGGUAGAGAGGUGCCCGGCUCCCACCCCUUCCCAGCCCCAGCCCUGGAGACAGCAGCCCCUAGACUACUGAGGGACAGCGACAGCAUGAAGGCUCCGGGUCGGCUCGUGCUCAUCAUCCUGUGCUCCGUGGUCCUCUCUGCCGUCUACAUCCUCCUGUGCUGCUGGGCCAGCCUGCCCCUCUGCCUGGCCACCUGCCUGGACCACCACUUCCCCACAGGCUCCAGGCCCACCGUGCCGGGACCCCUGCACUUCAGUGGAUAUAGCAGUGUGCCAGAUGGGAAGGAGGCAGUCGGGCUCCUUCCUCAGCACCGGCUGGUUCACCAUGAUCCUCGCGCUGGAGCUGUGUGAGGAGAUCGUGGUCUAUGGGAUGGUCAGCGACAGCUACUGCAGGGAGAAGAGCCACCCCUCAGUGCCUUACCACUACUUUGAGAAGGGCCGGCUAGAUGAGUGUCAGAUGUACCUGGCACACGAGCAGGCGCCCCGAAGCGCCCACCGCUUCAUCACUGAGAAGGCGGUCUUCUCCCGCUGGGCCAAGAAGAGGCCCAUCGUGUUCGCCCAUCCAUCCUGGAGGACUGAGUAGCUUCUGUCACCCUGCCAGCCGCCAUGCCAUUGCGAGGCCUCCGGGAUG
rnacentral:sRNA from 1 species